UACGGAGGAUGCAAGCGUUAUCCGGAAUGAUUGGGCGUAAAGCGUCCGCAGGUGGCAAUGUAAGUCUGCUGUUAAAGAGUCUAGCUCAACUAGAUAAAAGCAGUGGAAACUACAUAGCUAGAGUACGUUCGGGGCAGAGGGAAUUCCUGGUGUAGCGGUGAAAUGCGUAGAGAUCAGGAAGAACACCGGUGGCGAAGGCGCUCUGCUAGGCCGUAACUGACACUGAGGGACGAAAGCUAGGGGGAGCGAAUGGG
rnacentral:rRNA from 1 species